AUAAACGCUGGCGGCGUGCCUAAUACAUGCAAGUCGAGCGAACAGACGAGGAGCUUGCUCCUCUGAUGUUAGCGGCGGACGGGUGAGUAACACGUGGAUAACCUACCUAUAAGACUGGGAUAACUUCGGGAAACCGGAGCUAAUACCGGAUAACAUGUUGAACCGCAUGGUUCAACAGUGAAAGACGGUCUUGCUGUCACUUAUAGAUGGAUCCGCGCCGCAUUAGCUAGUUGGUAAGGUAACGGCUUACCAAGGCAACGAUGUGUAGCCGACCUGAGAGGGUGAUCGGCCACACUGGAACUGAGACACGGUCCAGACUCCUACGGGAGGCAGCAGUAGGGAAUCUUCCGCAAUGGGCGAAAGCCUGACGGAGCAACGCCGCGUGAGUGAAGAAGGUCUUCGGAUCGUAAAACUCUGUUAUUAGGGAAGAACAAAUGUGUAAGUAACUAUGCACGUCUUGACGGUACCUAAUCAGAAAGCCACGGCUAACUACGUG
rnacentral:rRNA from 1 species